GUGCCAGCAGCCGCGGUAAUACGAGGGGUGCAAGCGUUGCUCGGAAUUAUUGGGCGUAAAGGGGAGGUAGGUGGUCUCAUUUGUCUCAUGUGAAAGCCUUGGGCUUAACUCAAGAAGUGCGUGAGAAACGGUGAGACUAGAGUCCUGGAGAGGGUCGUGGAAUUCCCGGUGUAGCGGUGAAAUGCGUAGAGAUCGGGAGGAACACCAGAGGCGAAGGCGGCGACCUGGACAGGUACUGACACUCAACUCCGAAAGCGUGGGGAGCAAACAGGAUUAGAUACCCCGGUAGUCC
rnacentral:rRNA from 1 species